AUAAGAAAAAACCCGCAGGCAAACUGCGGGCUGUCUUUACGCAUCAAACGAUGCAAGACAAUGGGAGAGGAGAAACCGGCGGAAAACUUAUGGGGAAACGUAAGCAUCCGCGGUUG
rfam:Sporolactobacillus laevolacticus DSM 442 Contig002, whole genome shotgun sequence.